rnacentral:lncRNA from 1 species
AGUUGCUGAAGUUUUUCACCGGGAGGUGUUACUGAGCCAUCCUGUCUGCACUGAAGGUCAGCACUCUGUCCUCUGAGCCCUCUGCUGUGGUGACACCUGGGUGAUCACUGGGACCCCGUCUUGUUUCUUGAAAUCAGCAGCAGAAGCAAAGAUGUCCUGGGAGAGGGGAGCUGGUGCCCUUAGAAUAGCUGCAUGGAUGAAACAGAGGAUGAAAAAGCUUGAACGCAAAUGCCCCGAUAAUAAACACAAGUGUGUUUAUUGCCAUGCAUUAAAGUGGGACUCCUGCAAUUACAAUAAGAUGCUGCCAAAGAAGAAUGAUCUGUGGAAUACAAGUGAAUCCAGUGCUGACGAGCAUCCCGAAGUCCCACAGGAGGUUAGAAAGAGCACAACUCGCAUUCUGCUUUUUAUCUCUGCUGGGGUUAUGCCGUGCAACUGGGAGAGGACGACGGCAGGAGAAACGAGGGCUGACAGAGGGCUUCUCUCUGCUGUAGGGUCCUUGCUGCUCAUUGAUUGCUUGUGCGGCUGCAUCCCAUUUGGAGGGCAGCAGUCUCCAGUACAAGAGUUUGCGUAUCACCGUGCGGUAAUUAUUUCUACUCCUCUCCUCCUUUUUCCUAAUUGAUUAUUGGUUCUCCCCACAAGAAGAAGUGAAAUAAACAGGCAAAGGCAACAUUUGUCUUCA